rnacentral:ncRNA from 1 species
GAGACGAGGAAGGGCGUAGCAAGCGACGAAAUGCUUCGGGGAAUUGAAAAUAAGCAUAGAUUCGAAGAUUCCCGAAUAGGUCAACCUUUUAAACUGCUUGUUCAAUCCAUGAGCAGGCAAGAGACAACCUCGUGAGCUGAAACAUCUUAAUAGCCAAAGGAAAAUAAAGCAAAAGUGAUUCCCUUAGUAGCGGCGAGCGAAAUGGGAGCAGCCUAAACCGUGAAAACGGGGUUGUGGGAGAGCAAUACAAGUUUUGUGCUGCUAGGCGAAGCGGUUGAGUACCGCACGCUAGAUGGCUAAAGUCCAGUAGCUGAAAGAAUCACUAGCUUACGCUCUGACCUAAGUAGCAUGGGGCAUGUGGAAUCCCGUGUGAAUCAGCAAGGACUAUUUGGAGGUGGCUUUGUGCGGUUACAAAUUCC